UCUGCUCAAAAAAAAAACAAAAAACAAAACAAAAAAAAAAAAAACAAAGCUUUGUGAGUGUGUGGUAGUUUAAUUUUACAGUGUUCCACUAUGGAGAACACAUGGAUUUUGUAUCUGAAGAUUUGGCUCAUGUACUAGCUGAUCUUAAGUCUCUCUAACUCUCAAUUUUCUAAUGUUUUAAAUGGGGUUUUUUCAACCAGAUGCCCAAACUUAAUCUAUAAGAUUUAUUUUUUAAAGGAAGGGGGAGGGCAGGGUAUUGAAAUAAUCUAGAAAAGCUAUUAUUUUAAAGCUAGAAUUUUUCAGUCUAGAGAAAGGUAAAAACUUGACUAUUCAUUGCAUUCACCCUUUGUUCUGGAAAAAAUACCCAACUGGGCCCUUUACAAAAAGUAAAACUUGUAGCUAAUCUGGAUCAUGAAGAGCACUUUGAGAAAACAUAACUGCAGAUAUUUCCAGCAGAGAAGCUAACUAGAUAUUCUGGUUAGUAAAGCAAUUAUUGUGAGUUUCUGAGCUUGUACUUCAUCUCCGCCUGCUUUGUUGCUUUUGAAUUUGAGGCAGUGUCUCUUUUCUUUCCAUAUGAAUCUAAAUGGAUUGGGCAGCCUUCUUGCUUGUGCAUGGGAAAAUAUGUAUUCUUGCCUGAGAAGGUACUGUCCAGAAAUCUGAAGCUGAGGCCCAGGAGAUGGCAGGGUGUUCCUUACUUGACACAGAAUGCCACAUCACCAGCCCAUACCUGAGCUGUGCUGUUUGCCUUAUUUCUCCAAGAAUAUAUGAGCUUCAGCCCCUUCCUCCAUUUUCCAGAAGUGCCAAAACAAAAAGGUCAACAAAGCUAACAGCUGAAGCAUCUCUAUGCUAGCAAUUUUCCCACGAAGUGGUUGAGAUGAGAUCUUGAACUAUUUUAACGCAAACAAAAUUCUUGUGUCCAAACUUCUAAAUCACUUUAAACAUUCUAUUCAAAGUUUUUCAACCCAAUGGUUUUUCUUUAUUCUGACUAAUUUUGUGAAAGGAGGGAAUGGAUAUUUUAUCAUAAGAGAGUGACUAGGCAUUCAAGAAGUGCUUGUGGAAUGAGGAGGAAUUAUUGAGUCCUUCCAGAAGUGAGCGAAGGGAGAGGUGACACUGUGUAGCACAGAUCUACUGACAAGAGCUCCUCAACAGGGUUUGAUGAUUCUGAUAGUCAUCUCCAUUUGGGUUAUGUUUAAGGGAUGUUCUCCUGGAAUCUGCCUGACACCUGUUUUUUUUUUCUUGUCUUAGUUCAGGCUACUAUACCAGAAUAUCAUAGACUGGAUGGCUUAAACAGCAAACAUUUAUUUCUUGCAGUUCUGGAGGCUAGGAAGUCUAAGAUCAAAGUGCUGGAAGAUAUGAUGUCUGGUGAGGGCCUGCUUCCUGGUUCAUAGAUGGUCAUCUUCUCACUGUGUCCUUACUUGGCAUAAAGAGGGCUAGAGAAUUCUCUGAAGUCUCUUUUAUAAGGGCACUAAUCCCAUUCCUGAAGGCUUCACCCUCAUGACCUAAUCACCUCCAAAGGUCUCACUUCUUAAUACCAUCAUAUUGGGGUUUAGGAUUUCACCAUAUGAAUUUGCAAGGCACACAGACAUUCAGUCCAUACAUUUCUAGUCCCUUUCUCCUGAGGUCAGUAUGUAUUAAAGGAGCAGAAUCUUACUCCUUUCCCCUUGGAAGGUAUGCUUCAGUGGAAAGGCGAAGAUCGCAGUAUUUUAGACAUCUCCAGAUAUUGUGUCCAUAAGAGGGAAGGCUGUCGGCAUGGGCAAUUUAAAUUAAUUUGUCUUUUCUUUUUAUGGACUUGCUAUGUCUACAAAAAGCAAACUUAUCAAGUUAAAUUAAAUAUAUGCCUUCAUUUAACAAAUAUGUAUUGAGGGCCUAUCUUAGACACUAUUCCAGGCGCUCAGAUACAGUAAUGAAUAAGACAAAGUCUCUGCCUUCCCAGAGUUUGUGUUCCAGCGGGGAUAGGGAGACAAUAACAAAUAGGUAGAUACACAGUAAGCCAGGUGGUAAAUGCAACAAGAGAAAAAUACAGCAAGUUAAGGAGGAUACGGAGUGUCAUUAUAUUUGUGGGAAGGGGUGUAACAUAUUGAUUUCUGUUUCAGAUAUCCAUUGCCACACAACAAAACACCCUAAAUCCUAUUGGUUAAAAAAUAUUAGCUUGGUGUGGUGGCAUGCACCUAUAGUCUCAGCUAGUCAGAAGGCUGAGGCAGGAAGAUUGCUUGAGCCCAGGACUUUGAGUUUACAGUGAGCUAUGACUGUGCCACUGCACUCCAGCCUGCGUGACAGAGUGAGACCCUGUCUCUAAAAUUAAAAAAAAAAAAAAAAAAACUUUAAGAAAAAAAUGUAUGAUCUUGUAGGUUCCCUGGGGUCUUUAAACAGUUGCGGUCAUAUGGCAAAUCGGGCCAGGGUUAUCUGAAUAAUUGAAUGGGCCGGACAUUCCAAACGGCUUUUUCAUUCACAUGGCUGGCCCCUCAGCUGGGAAGGCUGGAACAACUGGGGUCUGGCCAGGCAUCACUCUGUCUGCACAUGACCUUUCUAUGUGGCUAUCUUGGGCUUUCUCACAACAUGGUGGGAUUGAGUAGUCAGGCUUCUCCCAUGCCGGUGGCUUCUCCUGAAGCAAAUAUUCCAAAAACUCCAGGUGAAAACUGCAAGGCUUCUUAUGAUGUAGCCUUGGAAGUCAGGCAAGCAUCACCUCCACUACAUUCUAUUGGUCAAAACAAGUCACAGGGCUCACUAGAUUCAAGGAGAGAGGACUCUAUGAGGCUGAGAAUAUUGGAAGAUGUGGCUCAUUAAGGGGCCAUUUUUGGACACUAGCUACCACAGUUAUUAAAGGGAUGGCCUCACUGAUAAAGUGACAUUUGAGCGGAGAUAGAAGGGAAGCCAGGGAGAAGCCAUGUGGGUAUCUAGAAGAGAUCUCCUAGCAGGGUGAACAGCAAACACAAUGUCCUGAGGCAGAAGUAGUCGUAAUAUGUUUCUGAAAACAAGGAGACCAGUGUGGACAGAGUGAGAUUAGUGGAGAGAAGGAGAAGUCAUUCAGAUAGGGAAGGAGGGGUUAGAUGAUAUAUAGCCUUAUAAGCUUUUUAAGGACUUGAAAUUUUAUUUGGAGUGAUACGAGAAGCCAAUCCGUGAUAUUGAGCAGAAGGAUGAUACGACCUGACUUCUAUCUUUGUUUUUUAGGCUAGUCAUGUGAAGCCGUGGGAGUGGGGAAGGCUGACUUCUGUCUUAAAGGCUUACUCUGGAUCAUAAUGUUGAGUGAAGGCUGUCAGGAGACAAAGAGGAUAAAAUGAGAAGAUAGCAAUCUGCAAACCAAGAAGCAGACCCUCAUCAGACACUGGCACCUUGAUUUUGGACUUCCCAGCCUCCAGAACUGUGAGAAAUAAACAUUUGUUUUUUAAGCCA